GACGAACGCUGGCGGCGUGCUUAACACAUGCAAGUCGAACGGAAAGGCCUGCUUUCCCUUGUGGAUUGCGGGUACUCGAGUGGCGAACGGGUGAGUAACACGUGAGUGAUCUGCCCCCAACUUGGGUAUAAGCCUGGGAAACUGGGUCUAAUUCCCGAUAGGACUGCAGGGUGGUGCCUGUGGUGGAAAACGAUUUUCUAGUGGUUGGGGAUGAGCUCGCGGCCUAUCAGCUUGUUGGUGGGGUAAUGGCCUACCAAGGCGGCGACGGGUAGCCGGCCUGAGAGGGUGGACGGCCACAUUGGGACUGAGAUACGGCCCAGACUCCUACGGGAGGCAGCAGUGGGGAAUAUUGCACCAUGGGCGGAAGCCUGAUGCAGCGACGCCGCGUGGGGGAUGACGGCCUUCGGGUUGUAAACUCCUUUCGAUCGCGAGGAAGCCACCUGGUUGGAAGGGUGGUGACGGUAGUGGUAGAAGAAGCACCGGCUAACUACGUG
rnacentral:rRNA from 1 species